UGGAUAGGGGUUCUGAGAGGAAGGUCCCCCACAUUGGAACUGAGACACGGUCCAAACUCCUACGGGAGGCAGCAGUGAGGAAUAUUGGUCAAUGGGCGAGAGCCUGAACCAGCCAAGUAGCGUGAAGGAUGACUGCCCUAUGGGUUGUAAACUUCUUUUAUAAAGGAAUAAAGUCGGGUAUGGAUACCCGUUUGCAUGUACUUUAUGAAUAAGGAUCGGCUAACUCCGUGCCAGCAGCCGCGGUAAUACGGAGGAUCCGAGCGUUAUCCGGAUUUAUUGGGUUUAAAGGGAGCGUAGAUGGAUGUUUAAGUCAGUUGUGAAAGUUUGCGGCUCAACCGUAAAAUUGCAGUUGAUACUGGAUAUCUUGAGUGCAGUUGAGGCAGGCGGAAUUCGUGGUGUAGCGGUGAAAUGCUUAGAUAUCACGAAGAACUCCGAUUGCGAAGGCAGCCUGCUAAGCUGCAACUGACAUUGAGGCUCGAAAGUGUGGGUAUCAAACAGGAUUAGAUACCCUGGUAGUCCACACGGUAAACGAUGAAUACUCGCUGUUUGCGAUAUACGGCAA
rnacentral:rRNA from 1 species